rnacentral:misc_RNA from 1 species
GAAAUGCAAUAAGUAGUGUGAAUUGCAGAAUUCAGUGAAUCAUCGAAUCUUUGAACGCACAUUGCGCCCCUUGGUAUUCCAUGGGGCAUGCCUGUUCGAGCGUCAUUUGUACCCUCAAGCUCUGCUUGGUGUUGGGUGUUUGUCCCGUCUCCGCGCGUGGACUCGCCCCAAAGUGAUUGGCAGCCGGCGUACUGGUCCCGGAGCGCAGCACAUGUCGCGCAAACGAGUGCCUUGGUACGGCGGCGUCCAUAAGCCCCUCUCUCACGCUCUUGACCUCGGAUCAGGUAGGGAUACCCGCUGAACUUAAGC